rnacentral:rRNA from 1 species
CAGGCCUAACACAUGCAAGUCGAACGGUAACAGGAAGCAGCUUGCUGCUUCGCUGACGAGUGGCGGACGGGUGAGUAAUGUCUGGGAAACUGCCUGAUGGAGGGGGAUAACUACUGGAAACGGUAGCUAAUACCGCAUAAUGUCGCAAGACCAAAGUGGGGGACCUUCGGGCCUCAUGCCAUCAGAUGUGCCCAGAUGGGAUUAGCUAGUAGGUGAGGUAAUGGCUCACCUAGGCGACGAUCCCUAGCUGGUCUGAGAGGAUGACCAGCCACACUGGAACUGAGACACGGUCCAGACUCCUACGGGAGGCAGCAGUGGGGAAUAUUGCACAAUGGGCGCAAGCCUGAUGCAGCCAUGCCGCGUGUAUGAAGAAGGCCUUCGGGUUGUAAAGUACUUUCAGCGAGGAGGAAGGCGAUAAGGUUAAUAACCUUGUCGAUUGACGUUACUCGCAGAAGAAGCACCGGCUAACUCCGUGCCAGCAGCCGCGGUAAU